rnacentral:ncRNA from 1 species
GCCGAUUUGGUCCUAGUCCCAACUUUAACUAGCUCAAAAAUGCCACAUGCCAGUCAACUAGCAAACCAGUGAAGUCAGAAGUUUACCGAUUUCCCUGAAGAAGGAAAUUAACUAAAGCCCAAAGUAUCAGGAGAAGUAGCCUCCCAUGACGCUAAGUCUCAUUCACCACGUCUGCAGUGCUAAACAUUGGACAAUUAGGGUAACCUAGAUCCAGUAAAGAGCAGUAAAGGAAGUAAAGCACGUGCCAGCCACCGCGGUUAUACGUGCUCCCUAGAGUUAAAGUUUUGCGGUAAAAAGGGUGGUUAGGAAUCCCUAAUAAUUGGUCGCAGCCUGUAGAUAGCUGUAGAAAGCUCACCCGCAGAGAAACUAUUUGGCCAACUUUUAUUAUCUGAUCCCACGAAAAUCAAGUUUUAAACCAGGGUUAGAUAUCCUGCUAUACUUGAAAGUUAACAACCUGAAGCACCAGAGGACUACAAGCCUGAAGCUUAAAACUCAAAGGACUUGGCGGUUUUCCAUAUCUACCUGGAGGAGCUUGCCAUCGAAUCGAUAAUCCACGAUAAACCUCACCAGAUUUUGCAAAAUCUCAGCCUGUAUACCAUCGUCGUAAGUCUACUUUUCGAGAAAGAAGGCCAAAGGGGAUUUCCCCAAGACGUCAGAUCAAGGUGCAGCUUAUAAACUGGGGAUAGGUGAGCUACAAUGUUAAAGCAGCCGUGAAAGAAAAGAUGAAAUUCUUUUCUGAAAUCGGAUUCAGUAGUAAGGCCCAAGAGAAAAUGGGCCUGAACCUUAGCUCUGGAAUGCGUACACAUCGCCCGUCACUCUCGCCCAACUGCAAAUUGUAGCAAGGGGAGAAAAGUCGUAACAUAGUAGGUGUACCGGAAGGUGCCCCUGGAAAAC